GUGAAUCAUCAAAUCUUUGAACGCAAAUUGCACUCCCUGGUAUUCCGGGGAGUAUGCCUGUUUGAGGGUCGUUAGAACAAAAAUCGAAGCGUCGCUCUUUUUUUUUAAGGGUGAGCGCUUCGGAAUUGAGCCGUCUUUCAAAUUUUAAUUCAUGUCAAUGUGGCUUUAAAUUCAUCCAUCCGGUACGAUUAAAUCUUAUUUAAGAUCUAUUUUGUUUAUGAACGCGCGAUGA
rnacentral:misc_RNA from 1 species